GAUGAACGCUGGCGGCGUGCCUAAUACAUGCAAGUCGAGCGAACGGACGAGAAGCUUGCUUCUCUGAUGUUAGCGGCGGACGGGUGAGUAACACGUGGAUAACCUACCUAUAAGACUGGGAUAACUUCGGGAAACCGGAGCUAAUACCGGAUAAUAUUUUGAACCGCAUGGUUCAAAAGUGAAAGACGGUCUUGCUGUCACUUAUAGAUGGAUCCGCGCUGCAUUAGCUAGUUGGUAAGGUAACGGCUUACCAAGGCAACGAUGCAUAGCCGACCUGAGAGGGUGAUCGGCCACACUGGAACUGAGACACGGUCCAGACUCCUACGGGAGGCAGCAGUAGGGAAUCUUCCGCAAUGGGCGAAAGCCUGACGGAGCAACGCCGCGUGAGUGAUGAAGGUCUUAGGAUCGUAAAACUCUGUUAUUAGGGAAGAACAUAUGUGUAAGUAACUGUGCACAUCUUGACGGUACCUAAUCAGAAAGCCACGGCUAACUACGU
rnacentral:rRNA from 1 species